rnacentral:rRNA from 1 species
AUUGAACGCUGGCGGCAGGCCUAACACAUGCAAGUCGAACGAGUGGCGGACGGGUGAGUAAUGUAUGGGAAACUGCCUGAUGGAGGGGGAUAACUACUGGAAACGGUAGCUAAUACCGCAUACCAUCAGAUGUGCCCAGAUGGGAUUAGCUAGUUGGUGGGGUAACGGCUCACCAAGGCGACGUUCCCUAGCUGGUCUGAGAGGAUGACCGGCCACACUGGGACUGAGACACGGCCCAGCAUCCUACGGGAGGCAGCAGUGGGGAAUUUUGAACAAUGGGCGCAAGCCUGAUUCAGCCCUGCCGCGUGUAUGAAGAAGGCCUUCGGGUUGUAAAGUACUUUCAGCGGGGAGGCGUUACCCACAGAAGAAGCACCGGCUAACUCCGUGCCAGCAGCCGCGGUAAUAC